AUAAUAUCAUUGAAAAAAGGAAAGACAAUAAAAACACAGGAAAUGGAAGGAGCUUCCCGAUUAAAAAGCUGCAGCGACAUGAUGAAGAUGGGAGUGUUGUGCCUGGUUGUGUCUCUUGUGAGCAUUCAGAGGAGCAAAGUCUCCAUGUGAGAGAGCCAGGUCCUGUUCCCUGUGCUGCCAGUGCCUUCUGGUGUGCUUUCAGAGAAAUACCAGAAUACACCCAGCAUACAACAGGGGACAAAAGAGUUAUACAAUAAGCAGAGAUGGGCCUGAAUCAGUCUGAACUAGGAGGUACUUUCCUGUGAGUGCAUGCCUGAAACAUCCAGCUUGUCUUCACUGGUGUUAAUAGACCAGAGGCUGGCACAGGGUAUGGAGCACGG